UACGUAGGCAGCAAGCGUUGUUCGGAAUACUGGGCGUAAAGAGUGUGUAGGCGGUUUUCUAAGUUUGGUGUGAAAUCUCCCGGCUUUAACUGGGAGGGUGCGCCGAAAACUGGAAGGCUUUGAGUGCCGGGAGAAGGAUAGCGGAAUUCCCGGUGUAGCGGUGAAAUGCGUAGAUAUCGGGGAGGAACACCUGUGGUGUAGACGGCUAUCUG
rnacentral:rRNA from 1 species